AUUCCGGUUGAUCCUGCCGGAGGCCAUUGCUAGCGGAGUCCGAUUUAGCCAUGCUAGUCGUGCGAGUUCAGACUCGCGGCACCGAGCUCAGUAACACGUGGCCAAACUACCCUACAGAGACGGAUACCCUCGGGAAACUGAGGUUAACCCGUCAUACCGAUCCCAGGCUUGAAUCGCAGAGAUCACAAAACGCCCCGAGCGCUGUAAGAUGUGGCUGCGGUUGAUUAGGUAGACGGUGGGGUAACGGCCCACCGUGCCCAUAAUCAGUACAGGUUGUGAGAGCAAGAACCUGGAGACGGAAUCUGAGACAAGAUUCCGGGCCCUACGGGGCGCAGCAGGCGCGAAACCUUUACACUGCACGCACGUGCGAUAAGGGGACUCCGAGUGCGAGGGCAUAUCGUCCUCGCUUUCGUGUACCGUAGGGUGGUACACCAACAAGGGCUGGGCAAGACCGGUGCCAGCCGCCGCGGUAAUACCGGCAGCCCGAGUGAUGGCCGAUCUUAUUGGGCCAAAGC
rnacentral:rRNA from 1 species